AAUAUUUCCUUUUGUUGUUAACUAUUUUUACAAAGUUUUGCACAGAUUUAAUUUAUCUCCAUAAGACGACUUUUUGGGCUCUCUGGGAUCUCACAAAUAUAUACACAUAUAUAUUAUGGAUAUAAUCUAUUUCAAACAGUUUCUUUCUCUACAUGCGAACAACACUUCUUGGAUUUAUUUUUUUACAAAUAUUGAAGACUGUUUUGCUUGUAACACAACUAGCCUACAAUCCAAUCAUCUGUCAAUAUUGGUAUUUUUAUCUUCUUUCUUACCCUUUAUCUUUUGUGAUGAAAUAAAAUGCUAUAGGAACUGCUACAGAAAAAAAGCAAAUUGGUCCAUCAUAAUCUCUGAUAUGAUUUAAUUUCCCUGGAGUGAUCAUUAU
rnacentral:lncRNA from 1 species